CUCCCUUAGCUCAUGACAAAGACUCAGUCCUAAGUGAGAAAAACAAAUUCUCUUUUGCAACCCAGAAUCAUUGUUGAAUGUGAGUUUUGACACAGAUAAGAAGGAAUGUG
ensembl:snoRNA